rnacentral:rRNA from 1 species
GAGCGGCAAAAGCUCAAAUUUGAAAUCUGGUACCUUCGGUGCCCGAGUUGUAAUUUGGAGAGGGCAACUUUGGGGCCGUUCCUUGUCUAUGUUCCUUGGAACAGGACGUCAUAGAGGGUGAGAAUCCCGUGUGGCGAGGAGUGCGGUUCUUUGUAAAGUGCCUUCGAAGAGUCGAGUUGUUUGGGAAUGCAGCUCUAAGUGGGUGGUAAAUUCCAUCUAAAGCUAAAUAUUGGCGAGAGACCGAUAGCGAACAAGUACAGUGAUGGAAAGAUGAAAAGAACUUUGAAAAGAGAGUGAAAAAGUACGUGAAAUUGUUGAAAGGGAAGGGCAUUUGAUCAGACAUGGUGUUUUGUGCCCUCUGCUCCUUGUGGGUAGGGGAAUCUCGCAUUUCACUGGGCCAGCAUCAGUUUUGGUGGCAGGAUAAAUCCAUAGGAAUGUAGCUUGCCUCGGUAAGUAUUAUAGCCUGUGGGAAUACUGCCAGCUGGGACUGAGGACUGCGACGUAAGUCAAGGAUGCUGGCAUAAUGGUUA